rnacentral:rRNA from 1 species
UACAGAGGGUGCGAGCGUUAAUCGGAAUUACUGGGCGUAAAGCGCGCGUAGGCGGCUUUGCAAGUCGGGCGUGAAAUCCCCAGGCUUAACCUGGGAACUGCAUUCGAGACUGCAUUGCUAGAGUAUGGGAGAGGGAAGUGGAAUUUCCGGUGUAGCGGUGAAAUGCGUAGAUAUCGGAAGGAACAUCAGUGGCGAAAGCGACUUCCUGGACCAAUACUGACGCUCAUGUGCGAAAGCGUGGGGAGCAAACAGG